rnacentral:rRNA from 4 species
UUUUAUGAGAGUUUGAUCCUGGCUCAGGACGAACGCUGGCGGCGUGCCUAAUACAUGCA